AGAGUUUGAUCAUGGCUCAGAGCGAACGUUAGCGGCGGGCCUAACACAUGCAAGUCGAACGAGAAUGUAGGCUUCGGUCUACUAGUAAAGUGGCGGACGGGUGCGUAACACGUGGGUAAUCUACCUUCCGGCGGGGGACAACAGUCCGAAAGGAUUGCUAAUACCGCGUACGUCAGCGGCGCCUACGGGCGCUGUUGGGAAAGACGGCCUCUCCUUGGAAGCUGUCACCGGAAGAUGAGCCCGCGUCCCAUCAGCUAGUUGGUGAGGUAAUGGCUCACCAAGGCUAAGACGGGUAGCUGGUCUGAGAGGAUGAUCAGCCACACUGGGACUGCGACACGGCCCAGACUCCUACGGGAGGCAGCAGUGGGGAAUAUUGGGCAAUGGGCGAAAGCCUGACCCAGCCACGCCGCGUGAGUGAUGAAGGCCUUCGGGUCGUAAAGCUCUGUGGGGAGGGACGAACAAGCCCUGGGCUAAUCACCAGGGACCUGACGGUACCUCCUUAGCAAGCACCGGCUAACCCUGUGCCAGCAGCCGCGGUAAUACAGGGGGUGCAAACGUUGCUCGGAAUCAUUGGGCGUAAAGCGCACGUAGGCGGUCUGUUAUGUCGGAUGUGAAAGCCCUUGGCUUAACUGAGGAAGUGCAUCCGAAACUGGCAGGCUAGAGUACUAAAGAGGGUCGCGGAAUUCCCGGUGUAGAGGUGAAAUUCGUAGAUAUCGGGAGGAACACCGGUGGCGAAGGCGGCGACCUGGGUAGAUACUGACGCUGAGGUGCGAAAGCGUGGGGAGCAAACAGGAUUAGAUACCCUAGUAGUCC
rnacentral:rRNA from 1 species